rnacentral:rRNA from 1 species
CCUACGGGUGGCAUCAUUUUUUCCUCCUCCCCCAUGGGGGGAACCCUGAUCCAGCCAUGCCGCGUGUGUGAAGAAGGCCCUCGGGUUGUAAAGCACUUUCAGUGAGGAAGAACGCCUGGUGGUUAAUACCCAUCAGGAAAGACAUCACUCACAGAAGAAGCACCGGCUAACUCCGUGCCAGCAGCCGCGGUAAUACGGAGGGUGCGAGCGUUAAUCGGAAUUACUGGGCGUAAAGCGCGCGUAGGUGGCUUGAUAAGCCGGUUGUGAAAGCCCCGGGCUCAACCUGGGAACGGCAUCCGGAACUGUCAAGCUAGAGUGCAGGAGAGGAAGGUAGAAUUCCCGGUGUAGCGGUGAAAUGCGUAGAGAUCGGGAGGAAUACCAGUGGCGAAGGCGGCCUUCUGGACUGACACUGACACUGAGGUGCGAAAGCGUGGGUAGCAAACAGGAUUAGAUACCCUAGUAGUC